rnacentral:lncRNA from 1 species
GAAACUUAAGGGAACAUGGAAGAUUAGAAACAUAGUGUCAAUCCCAUGAGACCAGGGGAGAUUCACAUUACAGCAGAAGGAUAAGCCUGCAAAGCUUUCAAGUUGGGAAGUUCCUGAUAAAUUCCCCCAUCAUUGAAGUGCAUCCAGUUUCCCCAGUGUUCUUCAGUGGAAUAUUGAGAGGCCAGAGACAUAAUGUUUCUCAAAAGAGAGCAAUAUAUGAAACUCUGCCAGCAGCCUUCGUAUGAGAGGAAACUGAUGCUAGAAGAAACUGCAGCAUUCACUCCCCAAGGGCCAACAUCAAUUCUGCCUGGCUGGAUGACUUUCCUCAUCUGUUGCAUAGCAACCUCCCCUGUCAGCUGCCUGUUUUUCCUCAGCCCUUCCUCUGUACAGUGUCUGCAGUGGGAUGUAAUCAGACUCAAGAAAGGAGUACUGGAGAUCGAAGUCGGGACCUUGCACUUGCGAGGCAGAUACAGCGCCACUGAGCUAAAUCCCCGGUCCCUAAAGAACAAACUUUUGACUUUUAUAAUUUUUUUCCCUCUACUCAGAUUUAAUUUGUUCUCAUUUUGCUAACUUUCAAAGAUG